CGUAGGUGGCAAGCGUUGUCCGGAUUUAUUGGGUUUAAAGGGUGCGUAGGCGGCUUGUAAGUCAGUGGUGAAAUACUCCAGCUCAACUGGAGAGGUGCCAUUGAUACUGCAGAGCUAGAGUACUGAUGAGGUAGGCGGAAUGGACGGUGUAGCGGUGAAAUGCUUAGAUAUCGUCCAGAACACCGAUAGCGAAGGCAGCUUACUAAAGAGUAACUGACGCUGAGGCACGAAAGUGUGGGGAUCAAACAGGAUUAGAUACCCUGGUAGUCCACACUGUAAACGUUGAUCACUAGAUGUUGGCGAUACACUGCCAGCGUUCCAGCAAAAGCGAUAAGUGAUCCACCUGGGGAGUACGCCCGCAAGGGUG
rnacentral:rRNA from 1 species